UCCCUCACGGGUGGUUCUCCUCUGUGGCCAGGUAUGACGCUGCACAGAGCCCUGGAGUGGGUCUCUUCCCCGCCCCGCAGCCAGUUUCACUGGUUGCCAAUGAAAACCCAGGUAAUGGGAGGGUGGACAGGGCUUGCCCCCUCCCCAUUCCUAUUCCCACCAACGCAGGCUGCACUCUUGGGGGUCUUGAGGGUGGGGCAUUGCGCCCUCCCCCCCACUGGUUUUUCUGCUCUGUGCCCAGGUAUAAAGCUGCACAGAGCCCUGGAGUGGACCUUCUGCACCCCCCGCCAGCCAGUUCCACUGAUUGGCAUUGCAAACUGAGAUAUCGAGCUCCUCAGAGCCCUGGAGUGGGUCUCCUGCAGCCCCCCCGGCAGCCAGUUCCACUGGUUUACAUUGGAAACCGCGGGACAGACCUGCAUUAUGCCCUGGAUUGCGCUUCCUGCCCCCCCCGACAGUUCCAGUCAUUUGCAAUGGAAACCGAGCUACACGGAGCCCGGGAGUCGGCCACCUGCGCCCCCUGCCCCCCAGUUCCUCUAGUUUGCCCUGCAAACCCAGAUGCAGCUUUGGGGAUUCUCUGGGUUGGGGAUAGGUAUUUCCCCUUUCGUCACUGGUUUUUCGCCUCUGUGUACAGGUAUGGAAUUGCACAGAGCCCUGGACUGGGCCUCCUGCGCCCCUCGACAACCAGUUCCACAUGAAAGGGUGGUUGGGCCCGUGAGUGGAGGUGGGAGGUCAGGUCAGCAGUCGGCGCUCUCCCUGGGGAUUCCUGUCUAGCCUUAGGAAUAGGGACUCGAGGCUAGCUGUGGCGGUGGGGGUCACGCCGUUCCGCUCAGGGCCGG
rnacentral:lncRNA from 1 species